CCCCCCAACCCCACCUUACCCAAGGCCCCAGGUUUUUUUCUGAGAAUAAAGUAAGAGUAGGCCCUUAGCUAGAAGCAAGAGUUUUAACUCCUGCUAAACUUGUUUUUCUGUACAAAGGGCACGCUGAGGCAAAAAAAAUGUGGUCAGGGCCCCAAAAAGAGGAACUAGAAUUGGAUAAAGGGGAACCAGAAAAUCUGUUAAGUUAUAACAGCUUUUAGUUUAUUAUGGUUUAUUAAGUUGCUUGUGUGGGCGUAAAAUAUAACUCAUGAUCAUUUGACCAAAGGUACACCAAUAGGUAUUUUUGGACCCAAGUUCCUCAAAAAGGCCUGAGCUACGUGCAAUAGCGUAACCACAAGUAGGUGGAAAACCAGGUGUCAAUGUCCUGACGAUCGCGAAACCUGUAAAAUGGGGAAGUAACAAAGGAGCAGGCUUGCAAAUUAGCUCAUAACCGGUAUAUUAAUAGCAAUUGUUUUUAGCAGAUGGUUAGAAGAUGUUAUUGUAUUAACCAAAUAAGGUAUCAUCGGAUGUAUGAGUUCAUAUGAUAAUUUGCGGUUUUCGGCUUUAUAAACCCAGGUAUCACUGCUGUAAGGUAGAGCGACUUACCCCUUGCUAGGGGAUUUGUCGUCUCUCCGUGUGUACACAUGUAUCUCUGAUUGAUCAAUAAAGGAGCCUCAGGCUGUCUGAUCAACUCAA